rnacentral:rRNA from 1 species
CCUACGGGUGGCAGCAGUGAGGAAUAUUGGUCAAUGGGCGCGAGCCUGAACCAGCGAAGUCGCGUGGGGGAUGACGGUCCUACGGAUUGUAAACCUCUUUUGCCGGGGAGCAGGCGUGCGUUCGUGAACGCGCGUCGCGAGUACCCGGAGAAGCAGCAUCGGCUAACUCCGUGCCGGCGGCCGCGGUAAUACGGAGGAUGCGAGCGUUAUCCGGAUGUAGUGGGUUAAGGGGGUGCGUAGGCGGGAUGCAAAGUCCGAGGUAAAAAUGCGGUGCUCAACGCCGUCGAGCCGUUGAAACUGGCGUUCUUGAGUGGGCGAGGAGUAUGCGGAAUGCGUGGUGUAGCGGUGAAAUGCAUAGAUAUCAGGCAGAACUCCGACUGCGAAGGCAGCAUACCGGCGCCCUACUGACGCUGAGGCACGAAAGCGUGGGUAUCGAACAGGAUUAGAUACCCUUGUAGUC